UACGGAGGGUGCAAGCGUUGUCCGGAUUUAUUGGGUUUAAAGGGUGCGUAGGCGGCCCGUUAAGUCAGUGGUGAAAGCCUCCAGCUCAACUGGAGAACUGCCAUUGAUACUGACGGGCUUGAGUACAGACGAGGUUGGCGGAAUUGAUUGUGUAGCGGUGAAAAUGCAUAGAUACAAUCAAGAACUCCGAUUGCGUAGGCAGCUAACUAGGCUGUAACUGACGCUGAGGCACGAAAGCGUGGGGAGCGAACAGG
rnacentral:rRNA from 1 species